rnacentral:rRNA from 1 species
ACACUACAAAAGGUGUUAGUUCAUCAAGACAGCUGCAUGGUGGCCAAGGAAGUUGGAAUCCCCUAAGCAGUGUGUAAAAACUCAAUAGCCAAAUGAACUAUCCCUGAAAAUGGAUGGUGCUUGA